CUUGCUAGGUGUGCUCUACCACAUUUAACAUAUACUAGAUAGAUCACCUGCACUUUGCUAAGCUAGACAGAUUACCAACUGAAUCAAGGCUUCUAUGAUUAACAAGUUGUACCUACAUGAUAUAUCUCAUUCCUAUGUCUUUACCUAUCUAUAUACUUUCUGCCAGUCAAUAAUUCCAUUCUCUACAUUUUCUAAAAUCAGAGCCACAUUACACACUUGUAAUCAAAAACAUAUAUCCUUCAACCUUUUCAAGUAAACACACGUAUGUGCAGAUAUAUCCCAGACACGCAUGGCUGAAUAGGUCUAUUGAACUUAAUAUCAAGCACUCUAGCAAAAACUAAUCACUUUAAUCCACAGGUUAAACAGUGACCUUGGAUAUACUCCUGAAACAUACUGCCUCAAAACAAAAUCAACCGGCAGCACAAUGACACAAACAUAACCAGUUAAAUGCACAUUGAUCACAAGGUCACCAACACAAAAGACACUACUUUGUAACCAAAAGCAAAAUCAGUUUCGCACUCGCUCGGUUAAGAAAAACACAAAACAACUCCUUACCUAGGACCAAAAGCAAGCCAGAGGAAAGCUGCUUCAAGAAAACAACCAUGUUGCCCUUGAACCUUCCAGCCAGAGUGAUCAACACAGUUCCUGGGGUAAUGCUUGCCCUGCAUAGGCUUCAACGUCAGCAAAUCCCUGCUGUUCCACACUAAUACUUCCACUAACUUCUAAUCUCUUGUAAUUUACCAAAUCGAAAACCAAUUGAGAUAUAAUCUCAGACAAACUAUCAAUUAAGGGCAUUCAUGCACACUUUCUAAACAAUUCACAACAUUUCUCCACAAAUCAAACACAUAUAUUACUAAACAAACAGAGAUAUGAAUUCAUCAAUUCAUCAAUUGAACUGAAGAACAAACGAACAGAAGAGGAGGCUCACAGAGAUGAAUUCAUCAAUUCACAGAGUAAGAAAAUCGGAGAGUUUAAGAGACUAACCUGCCAAACACAACGGAGGACGACGUUCUGGGCUGUCGGUUUGGGUGGAGGAACUGGUGAGGGUGAGGGCGAGAGAGAGAGAGAGAGAGAGAGAGAGAGAGAGAGAGA
rnacentral:lncRNA from 1 species